rnacentral:rRNA from 1 species
UACGUAGGGUGCGAGCGUUAAUCGGAAUUACUGGGCGUAAAGUGUGCGCAGGCGGCUUCGCAAGUCGAGUGCGAAAUCCCCGAGCUUAACUUGGGAAUUGCGCUCGAAACUACGGAGCUGGAGUGUGGCAGAGGAAGGUGGAAUUCCACGUGUAGCGGUGAAAUGCGUAGAGAUGUGGAGGAACACCGAUGGCGAAGGCAGCCUUCUGGGCCAACACUGACGCUCAUGCACGAAAGCGUGGGGAGCAAACAGG